rnacentral:lncRNA from 1 species
UGAUGAAUGUGAAAGUGUAUAUAUGUGAUAAGGCCUAAGGGCCGAUGUGACGAAUGUGAAAGUGUAUAUAUGUGAUAAGGCCUAAUGGCCGAUGUGACGAAUGUGAAAGUGUAUAUAUGUGAUAAGGCCUAAUGGCCGAUGUGAUGAAUGUGAAAGUGUAUAUAUGUGACAGGGCCGAGUGGCCAACGUGAUGGAUGUGAAAGUGUAUAAAUGUGAUAAGUCCCGAAGGGCAUUUGUGUCAGUACAAUAUCCGGGUUAAAACCCUGCAGGCUUUAUGCGAGAAUAUUAUCACUGAUUAAUGUCCG